AUUGAACGCCGGCGGCAUGCUUUACACAUGCAAGUCGAACGGUAACAGGCCGCAAGGUGCUGACGAGUGGCGAACGGGUGAGUAAUGCAUCGGAACGUGCCCAGUCGUGGGGGAUAACGCAGCGAAAGCUGCGCUAAUACCGCAUACGAUCUAUGGAUGAAAGCGGGGGACCGUAAGGCCUCGCGCGAUUGGAGCGGCCGAUGUCAGAUUAGGUAGUUGGUGGGGUAAAGGCCCACCAAGCCAACGACCUGUAGCUGGUCUGAGAGGACGACCAGCCACACUGGGACUGAGACACGGCCCAGACUCCUACGGGAGGCAGCAGUGGGGAAUUUUGGACAAUGGGCGCAAGCCUGAUCCAGCAAUGCCGCGUGCAGGAAGAAGGCCUUCGGGUUGUAAACUGCUUUUGUACGGAACGAAACGGUUCUCUCUAAUACAGGGGGCUAAUGACGGUACCGUAAGAAUAAGCACCGGCUAACUACGUGCCAGCCGCCGCGGUAAUAC
rnacentral:rRNA from 1 species